AGAGUUUGAUCCUGGCUCAGAACGUACGCUGGCGGCACGCCUUAUACAUGCAAGUCGAACGCAGUAGCAAUACUGAGUGGCAGACGGGUGAGUAUAAUGUGGGAAUCUGCCUUUUGGUUUGGAAUAACUCGGGGAAACCUGUGCUAAUACCGGAUAAGUCUUUACGGAGAAAGCUUUAUGCACCAUUGGAUGAGCCUGCACUUGAUUAGUUUGUUGGUGGGGUAAUGGCCUACCAAGACUGUGAUCAAUAGCUGAUUUGAGAGGAUGAUCAGCCACAUUGGGACUGAGACACGGCCCAAACUCCUACGGGAGGCAGCAGUGGGGAAUCUUGCACAAUGGAGGAAACUCUGAUGCAGCGAUGCCGCGUGAGUGAAGAAGGCCUUUGGGUUGUAAAGCUCUUUCGUCGGGGAAGAAAAUGACUGUACCCGAAUAAGAAGGUCCGGCUAACUUCGUGCCAGCAGCCGCGGUAAUACGAAGGGACCUAGCCGUAGUUCGGAAUUACUGGGCUUAAAGAGUUCGUAGGUGGUUGAAAAAGUUAGUGGUGAAAUCCCAGAGCUUAACUCUGGAACUGCCAUUAAAACUUUUCAGCUAGAGUAUGAUAGAGGAAAGCAGAAUUUCUAGUGUAGAGGUGAAAUUCGUAGAUAUUAGAAAGAAUACCAAUUGCGAAGGCAGCUUUCUGGAUCAUUACUGACACUGAGGAACGAAAGCAUGGGUAGCGAAGAGGAUUAGAUACCCUCGUAGUCCAUGCCGUAAACGAUGUGUGUUAGACGUUGGAAAUUUAUUUUCAGUGUCGCAGCGAAAGCGAUAAACACACCGCCUGGGGAGUACGACCGCAAGGUUAAAACUCAAAUGAAUUGACGGGGACCCGCACAAGUAGUGGAGCAUGUGGUUUAAUUCGAAGAUACGCGCAGAACCUUACCAACACUUGACAUGUUCGUCGCGACUCUAAGAGAUUAGAGUUUUCGGUUCGGCCGGACGAAACACAGGUGCUGCAUGGCUGUCGUCAGCUCGUGUCGUGAGAUGUUGGGUUAAGUCCCGCAACGAGCGCAACCCUCACUUUUAGUUGCCAUCAUUUAGUUGGGCACUCUGAAAGAACUGCCAGUGAUAAGCUGGAGGAAGGUGGGGAUGACGUCAAGUCCUCAUGGCCCUUACGUGUUGGGCUACACACGUGCUACAAUGGUAUCUACAACAGGAAGCAAGACUGCGAGGUCAAGCAAAUCCUUAAAAGAUACCUCAGUUCGGAUUGCACUCUGCAACUCGAGUGCAUGAAGCUGGAAUUACUAGUAAUCGUGGAUCAGCGUGCCACGGUGAAUGCGUUCCCGGGUCUUGUACACACCGCCCGUCACACCAUGGGAGUUGGUUCUACCUUAAGGCAAGGUUUAAAACCCUUGACCACGGUAUAGUCAGCGACUGGGGUGAAGUCGUAACAAGGUAACC
rnacentral:rRNA from 1 species